rnacentral:rRNA from 1 species
CCUACGGGAGGCAGCAGUCGAGAAUCAUUCACAAUGGGGGAAACCCUGAUGGUGUGACGCCGCGUGGGGGAAUGAAGGUCUUCGGAUUGUAAACCCCUGUCAUGUGGGAGCAAAUUAAAAAGAUAGUACCACAAGAGGAAGAGACGGCUAACUCUGUGCCAGCAGCCGCGGUAAUACAGAGGUCUCAAGCGUUGUUCGGAAUCACUGGGCGUAAGGCGUGCGUAGGCUGUUUCGUAAGUCGUGUGUGAAAGGCGCGGGCUCAACCCGCGGACGGCACAUGAUACUGCGAGACUAGAGUAAUGGAGGGGGAACCGGAAUUCUCGGUGUAGCAGUGAAAUGCGUAGAUAUCGAGAGGAACACUCGUGGCGAAGGCGGGUUCCUGGACAUUAACUGACGCUGAGGCACGAAGGCCAGGGGAGCGAAAGGGAUUAGAUACCCCAGUAGUC